UCUUUUAUAAAACGGUAUGCCGCAAACUUACUCACUUCACUAUUAACUACAUUAUUCUUAAAUUUCAACUAUACCAUCUUAAACUUUUGAUUAACAAUUAGAAAGUUUGUGUCACUAAGCUUUUGAUGCAUUGAAGAAAGAGAGAGAGAAGAAUGAGAAGGGAACCAAUAAUACUCAAUAGAAUGGCCUCCACACUCUUCCCCUUCCUUUGACUGCUCUCUCUGCCCCCUUUGACCACUUUCUCUCUCACUUAAAUGCUUCCCCCACGCACCUCUCUCUUGUGCGUUCACUCACGCUCCAAAUCCAAAAGUUUCACAACUUCUUUUUUUCUUUAAUUGCAUGAUUAUGUCCAUGAUUAGCUUUCGACUACGUCCUUCUAACACCAAUGCUAUAUUGAGUAAGUUGCAUUACAUUUACGUGUAUCCGUUCAAGUCUUUUCAUAAUCUCAAACCGUCUAAAUCAAGUAUCUCUCUAGCUAAUACGAUACUACAAUGUAGUUUGCGUUCAUAUGGUUAUG